AACGCUAUAAUAAGAUACUGAAAUAUGAAUAUGGCAAAUUACAUUCAUGAUAAUCUCAUUACAAAUUGAUCAUAAAUUUAAUUAUGAAUGUCAUAAUACUAGUCAAUCCACAAUUGCCAAUAAAAAAAAUAAAAAAUAAAAACUCCUAAAAGCAGCCACAGUUAAUUAUCAACAAAAAAACACCUAAAUUUAAGAGGACUCGUGACACGCUAUAUAGUCCAGCACAACCAAUUAUGGUUUAAGUCUAUCAGCAAUAUAGUCUCCUGUGUCAUAUAAUAUGAAACGAAAAAUUAAUUAACAUAGAAUUUCCAGCACAACCAAUUACGAUUUAAAAUAACUCAAUUAAAA
rnacentral:lncRNA from 1 species